UACGAAGGGGGCUAGCGUUGCUCGGAAUCACUGGGCGUAAAGCGCGCGUAGGCGGACUCUUAAGUCGGUGGUGAAAUCCUGGAGCUCAACUCCAGAACUGCCUUCGAUACUGGGAGUCUCGAGUUCGGGAGAGGUGAGUGGAACUGCGAGUGUAGAGGUGAAAUUCGUAGAUAUUCGCAAGAACACCAGUGGCGAAGGCGGCUCACUGGCCCGGUACUGACGCUGAGGUGCGAAAGCGUGGGGAGCAAACAGG
rnacentral:rRNA from 1 species